UCACGCUGUAAACGAUGUCGAUUGGGAGGUUGUUACCUUGAGGAGUGGCUUCCGGAGCUAACGCGUUAGAUCGACCGCUGGGGAGUACGGCCGCAAGGUUAAAACUCAAAUGAAUUGACGGGGGCCCGCACAAGCGGUGGAGCAUGUGGUUUAAUUCGAUGCAACGCGAAGAACCUUACCUACUCUUGACAUCCAGAGAAUUUAGCAGAGAUGCUUUAGUGCCUUCGGGAACUCUGAGACAGGUGCUGCAUGGCUGUCGUCAGCUCGUGUUGUGAAAUGUUGGGUUAAGUCCCGCAACGAGCGCAACCCUUAUCCUUUGUUGCCAGCACAUUAUGGUGGGAACUCAAAGGAGACUGCCGGUGAUAAACCGGAGGAAGGUGGGGAUGACGUCAAGUCAUCAUGGCCCUUACGAGUAGGGCUACACACGUGCUACAAUGGCGUAUACAAAGAGAAGCGACCUCGCGAGAGCAAGCGGAACUCAUAAAGUACGUCGUAGUCCGGAUUGGAGUCUGCAACUCGACUCCAUGAAGUCGGAAUCGCUAGUAAUCGUAGAUCAGAAUGCUACGGUGAAUACGUUCCCGGGCCUUGUACACACCGCCCGUCACACCAUGGGAGUGGGUUGCAAAAGAAGUAGGUAGCUUAACCUUCGGGAGGGCGCUUACCACUUUGUGAUUCAUGACUGGGGUGAAGUCGUAACAAGGUAACCA
rnacentral:rRNA from 1 species